GAUGAAGCAAGGAGGUGGAUUAUGCAGAAGUCAUUCAUUCGUCAGUUUUACCUGAGCUAUUUCAUUGCCACACAGGAUGUGUGCUGGCUGGCCCGCCAGAGUGCACGGCAGCGAUACGCAUUGCUGGAAGAAUUGAUGCAGUGGGACGUUACAAACCCUGUCUCUGAUCCCGUUCAUCGUCAGGAGAAAACAUCGCCUGAACGAUGAGCAGAUACCGACUUGCAGAUAUCAUGUGUGACUGAGAAUUGGUGUAAAAUCACCCGCCAGCAGAUUCUUUCUGCUGGCUUUUUUC
rnacentral:sRNA from 1 species